GACGAACGCUGGCGGCGUGCUUAACACAUGCAAGUCGAACGAUGAAGAAAAGACUCGAAGCUUCGGCAGAAAUUCAUUUCGGAUUAGUGGCAGACGGGUGAGUAACGCGUGAGCAACCUACCUCUUACAAAGGGAUAGCCUCGGGAAACCGGGAUUAAUACCAUAUAACAUUGUGACGAAGCAUUUCGAUGCAAUCAAAGCUACGGCGGUAAGAGAUGGGCUCGCGUCCCAUUAACCGGAUGGUGAGGUAACGGCUCACCAUAGUGACGAUGGGUAACCGGCCUGGGAGGGUGAACGGUCACACUGGAAAUGAGACACGGUCCAGACUCCUACGGGAGGCAGCAGUGGGGAAUAUUGCACAAUGGAGGGAACUCUGAUGCAGCGACGCCGCGUGAGUGAUGAAGGAAUUCGUUUCGUAAAACUCUGUUCUAUGGGAAGAAAAGGACGGUACCAUAGGAGAAAGCUCCGGCUAAAUACGUG
rnacentral:rRNA from 1 species